rnacentral:lncRNA from 1 species
GGUUUUUACUUCUUUUCGGAAGUUAUAUCAUUAAAGAUUAAGUCCUUUAAUGGCGGGAAUGAGUAUUUGAUCUCUAUAUCUUCAAGGCACACAUUUUUGUUAAUAUUUCGUUAGAACGCAUGUAAAAUCAUUAAAAUUUUAAAGCAGUUAAAUACUGUUCAUACAACCUUGAACAUAAAAGUUCUACUUAGGUCUCCAUCCGUUGCUGCAUAGUAAAAUGGCCAAAUAGGUUUAUCAAUUUUGGUCCUGAAUAAAAACUGAAAAUCAAUUAAAUGAAUUCAAUAAACGAUUAUUCAAUUAAUUAAGAAAUAAUUCAUGGGGGCUUGAAUAUAUCGUUAUUUUACCACGGGUUGUCCCUUUACGACAAAUAUU